AUGCUUGCUUCGGCAGCACAUACACUAAAAUUGGAAUGAUACAGAGAAGAUUAGCAUGGCUCCUGCACAAGGAUGACACGCAAAUCCAUGAAGCGUUCCAUAUUUUU
rnacentral:snRNA from 1 species